rnacentral:rRNA from 1 species
CCUACGGGGUGCAGCAGUGAGGAAUAUUGGUCAAUGGCCGGAAGGCUGAACCAGCCAUGCCGCGUGAAGGUCAGUGCCCUAUGGGCGUUAAACUUCUUUUGUGCGGGAGCAAUAAUGGUCACGUGUGGCCAGACGAGAGUACCGUACGAAUAAGCAUCGGCUAACUCCGUGCCAGCAGCCGCGGUAAUACGGGGGAUGCAAGCGUUAUCCGGAUUUAUUGGGUUUAAAGGGUGCGUAGGCUGUGAGGUAAGUCAGCGGGGAAAUGCCCCCGCUCAACGGGGUGAAGUGCCAUUGAUACUGCCUUGCUGGAAUGCGGAUGCCGUGGGAGGAAUGUGUGGUGUAGCGGUGAAAUGCAUAGAUAUCACACAGAACACCGAUUGCGAAGGCAUCUCACGAAUCCGCGAUUGACGCUGAUGCACGAAAGCGUGGGUAUCAAACAGGAUUAGAUACCCCAGUAGUC